rnacentral:rRNA from 1 species
AUACGGAGGAUCCGAGCGUUAUCCGGAUUUAUUGGGUUUAAAGGGUGCGUAGGCGGACGAUUAAGUCAGCUGUGAAAUGACCGCGCUUAACGCGGGAAGUGCAGUUGAUACUGGUUGUCUGGAGUGCCGUUGCCGUGGGAGGAAUGGGCAGGGUAGCGGUGAAAUGCAUAGAUAUUGCCCAGAACACCGAUUGCGAAGGCAUCUCACGAAUCCGAGACUGACGCUGAGGCACGAAAGCGUGGGGAUCAAACAGGAUUAGAUACCCUGGUAGUCCACGCAGUAAACGAUGAUAACUAACCGUCGGCGAUAGAAUGUCGGUGGCCAAGCGAAAGCGAUAAGUUAUCCACCUGGGGAGUACGUUCGCAAGGUUGAAACUCAAAUGAAUUGACGGGG